rnacentral:rRNA from 1 species
AUGAACGCUAGCAAUAUACUUAACACAUGCUAGUCAAAUGUAUUUAAUAUACAUGGCGUACAGGUGAGUAAUACGCAAGAAUUCUACCUCGUGGACUAAGUUAAUCUUAGAUAAUUAUAAAUGGUAAAAUCGCCACGAGAUGAGCUUGCGCAAGAUUAGGUAGAUGGUGAGGUAACGGCUCACCAUGCCUGUAAUCUUUAGCUGGUCUGAGAGGACGAUCAGCCACAUUGGGACUGAGAUAAGGCCCAAGCUUUUGCCAGCAGUGGGGAAUAUUGGACAAUAAGCGAAAGCUGGAUCCAGUAAUGUUGCGUUAGUGAGGAAGGCACUAAAGAUUUGGGUGUUUAGUUUGGGUAAAACCAGAUUAGAUUCUUAAAUUGGCUGUAAAACUAUUUCGUUAGUGAGGAUAAUGACUUUAACUAAAGAAGAAACUCCGGCCAACUUCGU